CCCUUUCCGCCCUGCCCUGCAGGUGUCCUGACACACAUGUGACCUGGCGUGGCCAGAUUCCACGAGGGUGUUUAAGCGUUAUUUAUUUGCUUUACCGCACAUGUGGACACACAGCCGUCUGCAAGAAUUCCUGGGCUGAGCAGCGUGAGUCAGCGCUCCGGUGCAUGCCUGCGUGCGGGUGUCUGGGUGUACGUGAGCCCACCCAUGCAUAUCGGCUUGGCAGCAUAAACACCCUUGAGAUCAUCCAAGUAGUGGCGAGUAUCGGCAGCUCAUUCGUCUUAUUGCUCAGUGGUGUUCCGCGGUGUGGAGGGGCCACGGUUUGCUGAACCGGUCGACUAUCGAGAGGCAUCUGCGCUGUUUCCAAUUUGGAGCUGUUAUGAAUAAAGCUGCUACAGGUUUCCAUGU
rnacentral:lncRNA from 1 species